GUCGCUUCUCAGCCUUUUGGCUAAGAUCAAGUGUAGUAUCUGUUCUUAUUAGUUUAAUAUCUGAUACAUCCUCUAUAUGAGGACAAUAUAUUAAAUGGAUUUUUGGAACAGGGAGAUGGAAUAGGAGCUUGCUCUGUCCACUCCAUGUGUCGACCUGGGAUUUCAGUACCUCCAGGAACAGUGCACCAAAA
rnacentral:snRNA from 1 species